CACGUAGGGACCGAGCGUUGUCCGGAAUCAUUGGGCGUAAAGAGCGUGUAGGCGGCCUUUUAAGUCCUGCGUGAAAUCCUGCGGCUCAACCGCAGACGGUCGUGGGAAACUGGAAGGCUAGAGUGCGGGAGAGGAGAGUGGAAUUCCCGGUGUAGCGGUGAAAUGCGCAGAUAUCGGGAAGAACACCCGUGGCGAAGGCGGCUCUCUGGAACGCAACUGACGCUGAGACGCGAAAGCGUGGGGAGCAAACAGG
rnacentral:rRNA from 1 species